CCAGCACUUCCGUGAUCCUGACUGAGGACAAGUCCAAGGCAGGGUGAGGGCUUGGGAUGGGAAGGACAGGCGGACGGCUGCGAGAAGUCACUUAAAAUAGGUACCUGACUCUAUAAAGGAGCAGAUUCGGGAGUGAUCAAGGUCCAGAGGAGGCCUGCUCUACAUAGCUGGCUGGGCAGCCGUCGACCGGCUCCAUGUUACGUGAUGAGGGCAAACCGGGACAGCCUCAGCUGUCCCUUACCCUGCUAACGCUUGCCAAUAUUCCUUCCUCCAGUGCUGGCCCUGCAGCAGGAAACCCAGGGCUGCUGGGAGAGAGAGAGGCAUUUCAGAAGAAAAUAUUAAGUGCGCAGUAACAGCUGUAAACAAGCUCCGAGCUCAUCUCCUUGCUUACUAAACAACAGAACUAUUUGCUGAGCAUUUCUAAAAGAUAAGAGGAAGUUUGGAACCAGUAAAAAAG
ensembl:lncRNA